AUUGAACGCUGGCGGCAGGCCUAACACAUGCAAGUCGAACGAGUGGCGGACGGGUGAGUAAUGUCUGGGAAACUGCCCGAUGGAGGGGGAUAACUACUGGAAACGGUAGCUAAUACCGCAUACCCUCGGAUGUGCCCAGAUGGGAUUAGCUAGUAGGUGGGGUAACGGCUCACCUAGGCGACGCUCCCUAGCUGGGCUGAGAGGAUGACCAGCCACACUGGAACGGAGACACGGCCCGGACUCUGACGGGAGGCAGCAGUGGGGAAUAUUGCACAAUGGGCGAAAGCCGGAUGAAGCCAUGCGGCGUGUAUGAAGAAGGCCUUCGGGUUGUAAAGUACUUUCAGCGAGGAGGCGUUACUCGCAGAAGAAGCACCGGCUAACUCCGUGCCAGCAGCCGCGGUAAUUC
rnacentral:rRNA from 1 species